rnacentral:rRNA from 1 species
CCCACUGCUAUCGAGGUGGGACUAAGCCAUGCUAGUUGAGCGCACAGAACUAUGUCUGUGAGCGGCACACUGCUCAGUAACACGUAGCUAACCUACCCUUAGGACGUGGACAACCCCGAGAAAUUGGGGCUAAUCCGCGAUAGAUGUAUUGUCCUGGAAUGGUAUUACGUCUAAAGGUAUCCCAUACAUGUUUGGUAUACGCCUAAGGAUGGGGCUGCGGCCGAUCAGGCUGUUGGUGAGGUAAUGGCUCACCAAACCUUUGACCGGUACGGGCCAUGAGAGUGGUAGCCCGGAGAUGGACACUGAGACAAGGGUCCAGGCCCUACGGGGCGCAGCAGGCGCGAAACCUCCUCAAUGCACUUACGUGCGAAGGGGCUACCUCGAGUGCCACCUGAUGAAGGUGGCUUUUCCUAGGUCUAAAAAGCCUUGGGAAUAAGAGGGGGGCAAGACUGGUGUCAGCCGCCGCGGUAACACCAGCCCCUCGAGUGGUGGGGAUGAUUAUUGGGCCUAAAGCGUCCGUAGCCUGCCGUAUAAGUUUCCCGUUAAAUCCAGCGUCUCAAGCGUUGGACUGCGGGAAAUACUGUACGGCUAGAGAGUGGGAGAGGUUAGCGGUAUUCUGGGGGUAGGGGCGAAAUCCUUUGAUCCCCGGAGGACCACCAGUGGCGAAGGCUGCUGACUAGAACACGUCUGACGGUCAGGGACGAAAGCUGGGGUAGCGAACCGGAUUAGAUACCCGGGUAGUCCCAGCCGUAAACGAUGCAUGCUAGGUGUUGGGUUGGCCACGAGCCACCCCAGUGCCGCAGGGAAGCCGUUAAGCAUGCCGCCUGGGAAGUACGAUCGCAAGGUUGAAACUUAAAGGAAUUGGCGGGGAGCACCACCAGGCGUGAAGCCUGCGGUUU